ensembl:lncRNA LINC02674 long intergenic non-protein coding RNA 2674
GCUGGGGUCAGCGUCUGUACGCUAAAGCCAGGGCGCAAAGUGCGUGGGCACUGCGGACACUAGAGGCUUAUGGCGCUGGAAAUACAAGGCCGAGUUGCCGGCGCAAAGAGUUCCCCGGGCGGGUGCCCAACACCUUGAUCAGUGCCUGCUUUGUAGUAGGCAUUCAAAUACUGUGGACUGGAUGAAUGGAGUCACUUCCCUUCCAACCUGCACACCAACGUGGUUGAACUGCCUCCUUUCUAAGUGCCAAAGUCUGUUUUACAAGGCUGCCCUGCUGUGCCCAUCUGGGCACCCAGUCCAGCCUCCCUUCCUGGGCGCCUUGACUCCCAACUGCAGAUGAAGUGUCUGGAAAUCAUGGUACUCAAGGUAGGAUCCACAUUGCCUGCCGGCCUAGGACCAAGAUCUGCAAGUCAGAACGAAACACCAGCUGUCCCUGUCUCCUGCACCCAUCCCCAUCCCGGAUAUCAAAGGAGCAUUACAAAAUAUUGUCUAACAGAAGUACCAGGGCUGGAUCCCAAAGUUUUGUGUAGAUCUUGAUAAAGAGUUUGGAUUUUAUUCUAACAAGAGUGAAGAGCAUGACAAUGUUUGCAGAAGAGUGAUGGCUUCUUUCAGGCAACAGUGACAAUUACACCUCCUCUUUUUCUCUUUGAUCCUCCACCCUCUCCCUCCAGCACCUGGUACAAAGCUGGGUACCCAGCAGACACUCUGUAAAUUAAAGUGCUGCCAGCCUGAACAAUCUCAGUGGAAGAGCUAA